rnacentral:misc_RNA from 1 species
GAUGAAGAACGUAGCGAAAUGCGAUAAGUAAUGUGAAUUGCAGAAUUCAGUGAAUCAUCGAAUCUUUGAACGCACAUUGCGCCCGCCAGUAUUCUGGCGGGCAUGCCUGUUCGAGCGUCAUUUCAACCAUCAAGCCCCCGGCUUGUGUUGGGGACCUGCGGCUGCCGCAGGCCCUGAAAACCAGUGGCGGGCUCGCUAGUCACUCCGAGCGUAGUAAUACAUCUCGCUCAGGGCGUGCUGCGGGUUCCGGCCGUUAAAAAGCCUUAUUUACCCAAGGUUGACCUCGUAUCAGGUAGGAAGACCCGCUGAACUUAAGCAUAUCAAUAAGCGGAGGA